GCUGUCUCCCUGUUCAUUUGUGCCGGCAAACUUUAUGUCAAUUUGCCUCAAGAUAGAAUCAUUUUAGAAGAGGACUCCUCAAUUGAGAAAAUGCCCCGACUUGAAUGGCCUGUGGACAACAGACCUGGCUGUCUACCCACCAUCUGAGCAGAGUUCUAACGGCUGCAGAUCCGUGUGGCUAAAAGACGGACAACUAUGGAAGAGCUGGGACUCCAGGGGACAGCCCAAGGAGCUGGGACUCCAGGGGACAGCCCAAGGCCUGAAUCCCUUUGAGCAACAGCCUGGAAGGGAUCAAAGCAAUCUUUCCAAGGGCUUCUGCUGCAGAGUAGAGCACGUUUGUGGGGACUCUGCACACAAACAUGAUCUAAGCUUGCUCUAAAUUGGCAGAAUGAUAAAUGCAUGGGCACGUUUCUUUUCUUUUUCUUUUCUUUCUUUUCUUUUUUCUUUUUCUUUUUUCCCAAUACAGAAUUUCUCUGUGUAGUUUUGGUGCCUGUCCUGGAUCUCACUCUAUAGACCAGGCUGACCUCAAACUCAGUUCCUCCUGCCUCUGCCUCCCAAGUGCUGGGAUCAAAGGCAUGCGCCAUCACUGCCCGGCAUGGGCAUGUUUCUUUAGAGAAGGCCAGAGUAAACUUGACAAGUGCUUAGA